GAUGAACGCUGGCGGCGUGCCUAAUACAUGCAAGUCGAGCGAACAGACGCGGAGCUUGCUCCUCUGACGUUAGCGGCGGACGGGUGAGUAACACGUGGAUCACCUACCUAUAAGACUGGGAUAACUUCGGGAAACCGGAGCUAAUACCGGAUAAUCUAUUGAACCGCAUGGUUCAAUAGUGAAAGACGGUUUUGCUGUCACUUAUAGAUGGAUCCGCGCCGCAUUAGCUAGUUGGUACGGUAACGGCUUACCAAGGCGACGAUGCGUAGACGACCUGUGAGGGGGAUCGGCGACACUGGAACGGGGACACGGACAAGACUCCUACGGGAGGCAGCAGUAGGGAAUCUUCCGCAGUGGGCGAAAGCCUGACGGAGCAACGCCGCGUGAGUGAUGAAGGUCUUCGGAUCGUAAAACUCUGUUAUUAGGGAAGAACAAAUGUGUAAGUAACUAUGCACGUCUUGACGGUACCUAAUCAGAAAGCCACGGCUAACUACGUG
rnacentral:rRNA from 1 species